CCCGGGCAAGUCUUAUACGGUCAGCUCCCAUUGAAUUCCCCCAGGGUCGGAAGGCAGCAAGGGUAGAUGGUUGUAGCGACGCGAUAUAAAUAGCUUGCCCU
rnacentral:SRP_RNA from 1 species